rnacentral:RNase_P_RNA from 1 species
AGGAUAACGGGUAACACCCGCCAGGGGCGACCCUCGGACAAGUGCAACAGAAAUAUACCGCUGUCUUUCGGGACAGUAAGGGUGGAAAGGCGAGGUAAGAGCUCACCCAGCGCAUGGAGACAUGUGGCUGCUGUAAACUCUAUCCGGAGCAACACCGUGGGAGAACGCAUGGCCGGCCCGGCCGUUCUCAGGAGGUGGCUUGAGCGCAUCGGCAACGGUGCGCCUAGAUUGAUGACCAUUCAUUGACAGAACUCGGCUUACCGGCGCACUUG